rnacentral:rRNA from 1 species
GCGAAACCUUUAACAAUGCGACGAAAGUGUGAUAAGGCAACUCCUUGUGCUUAUCCAAAAGAUAGGGCUUUUUAGUAUGUAAUGUAUACUAAGAAUAAAGUGAUGGGCAAGACCGGUGCCAGCAGCCGCGGUAAUACCGGCGUCACAAGUGGAGAUCACGAUUACUGGGUCUAAAAGUGUUCGUAGCUGGUCAAUAUAAGUCUCCUGUGAAAAGUUCUGUAGCUUAACUCAGAAUUUGCAAGAGAUACUGUAUGACUUGAGACCGGAAGAGGUGUAAAGUAUGAAUUGGGUAGCGGUAAAAUGCUAUAAUCCUUUUCAGACUAACU